CAUCGAGGAUGGCCUCGAUAAGGCAGUAAGGGUUGCUAUCCCUUACACCCCGGGUUUAAUUCCCGGGCAUACUCG
rnacentral:tRNA from 1 species